UGUUCACGGAGAUCAAAUAUCAUUUUUGGUUUGGGAAGUUCCCAUGGAGGACAUUUGCAAGUUUUAACUUGAGCAACAGAUUUUAAAUCAAAAGAAGCUAAAUGUGGUUUUAAACGUAUACCUAACGGAGGAAUUUUAUUUUCAUGUUUUGCAAAAAUAUCUUCAUAAAUCGGAUUAAAAACACAGCUGUAGGCAGGAUUAUCUGAAUAGGCUUUUAGUUUGACAGCAUAUUGAAGUCCAAGCUUCAAACGUCUGUCAGAGAGUGAGUGCUCAUCAGCCUCUACAUACAGACUCUCAACUGGUGAGGUUUUAAAUGCGCCAAGACAGAGACGCAAACCUUGGUGAUGCACAGCAUCGAGAAUCUGUAUGUAGGACUUCCUUGCAGAGCCAUACACUAUAGAGCCAUAAUCUAGUUUAGAUCUAACUAGAGAUCUAUAUAAAUUAAGUAAAAUGUUGCGAUCAGCACCCCAGUCAGUGCUGCCGACAACUUUUAAAAUAUCUAAAGCUUUUAAACAUCUCGAUUUUAACAUUUUGAUAUGGGGUAGAAAGGUUAACUUUUUAUCGAAAAUUAACCCAAGAAAUUUGGUUUCAUCAACCAUUUUAAUUGGGUUGCCGUACAAAGUGAGUUCUGGAUCAAGAUGCAAUUUCCUUUUGUUACAAAAAUGCAUCCCGACCGUUUUUGACGUGGAAAAUUUAAAACCAUUUUCCGAGGCCCAUUUUUCAAUUCUUCCAAGACAUAAUUGUAAUUGUCUUUCUAUGUUAUUCAUAUUUUUGCCUCUGUAACAUAUUAAAAAAUCAUCAACGUACAAUGAACCUUCAAUAUUACUUUUUAAAACUUCAACAAGGCUGUUGAUUUUAAGACUAAAUAAUGUAACAGAUAAAAUACUGCCCUGAGGGACACCCAUCUCUUGAUCAUACAGAUCAGACAUGGUCGAAUUAACUCUAACAUUAAAUUGUCUGUUAGAGAGAAAAUUAGAAAUAAAAUUAGGCAUAUUGCCUUUCAACCCCAUAUCAAAUAGAUCUUUUAAAAUACCAUAUUUCCAUGCAGUAUCAUAGGCCUUCUCAAGGUCGAAAAAGACCGACACCACAUGUUCAUUUUUCGCAAAACCAUUACGGACAAAUGAUUCGAAUCGAACAAGAUGAUCAAGAGUACUGCGGCCCUGUCGGAAUCCACACUGGAUAUUGGCUAAUAGCCCAUUGGAUUCCAAGAACCAAACAAGGCGAUCAUUGACCAUCCGUUCGAGUGUUUUACAGACACAACUGGUAAGAGCAAUUGGUCGAUAAUUAAUAGGAUCCGUAUGAUCUUUACUUGGUUUUGGAAUAGGCACGACGGUUGCAAGCUUCCAGAUUGAUGGUAAAUCACC
rnacentral:lncRNA from 1 species